rnacentral:rRNA from 1 species
CCCAUCCAAGGAAGGCAGCAGGCACGCAAAUUACCCAAUCCCAGCUCUGGGAGGUAGUGACGAAAAAUAACAAUGCGGGACUCUUCCGAGUCUGCGUAAUUGGAAUGAGCACACUUUAAAUCCUUUAGCAACAACCAAUUGGAGGGCAAGUCUGGUGCCAGCAGCCGCGGUAAUUCCAGCUCCAAUAGCGUAUAUUAAAGUUGUUGCGGUUAAAAAGCUCGUAGUUCGAUUUGAGUUGCGGACUGGUGUGGGAGGUCACCGCCCGGUGCUUGCCCGCCAGGUUCCGAACAGCUUCCGUGAGUGGAAGCCAAGCCGGUUCUGCCGGGGUGCUCUUUACCGAGUGUCCCGCGCGGCCGGCCAGUUCACCUUGAAUAAAUGAGAGUGCUCAAAGCAGGCUACUCUGGAAUACAAUGCCCGAAUGUUAGCUGCAUGGAAUGAUGGAAGAUGAUCUCGGUUGCAUUUUGUUGGUGGUGGCAGCCAGAGGUAAUGAUAAAGAGGGACUGUCGGGGGCAUCCGUACUACGACGCGAGAGGUGAAAUUCAGUGACCGUCGUAGGACGAACAACAGCGAAAGCAUUUGCCAAGAAUGUCUUCGUUGAUCAAGAACGAAAGUUAGAGGAUCGAAGGCGAUCAGAUACCGCCCUAGUUCUAACCCUAAACGAUGCUGACUAGCAAUUCGCCGUCGUUAUUCCCAUGACGUGGCGAGACGCCCCCGGGAAACCUCAAGUCUUUGAGUUCCGGGGGUAGUAUGGUUGCAAAAGUGAAACUUAAAGGAAUUGACGGAAGGGCACCACCAGGAGUGGAGCCUGCGGCUUAAUUUGACUCAACACGGGGAAGCUCACCAGGCCCGGACACCAGAAGGAUUGACAGAUUAAGAGCUCUUUCUCGAUUUGGUGGGUGGUGGUGCAUGGCCGUUCUUAGUUGGUGGAGUGAUUUGUCUGGUUAAUUC